CCUACGGGGGGCUGCAGUGAGGAAUAUUGGUCAAUGGGCGUAAGCCUGAACCAGCCAAGUCGCGUGAGGGAUGAAGGUUCUAUGGAUCGUAAACCUCUAUCAACAGGGACGAAAGAAAUGACGGUACCUGAAUAAGAAGCCCCGGCUAACUACGUGCCAGCAGCCGCGGUAAUACGUAGGGGGCAAGCGUUAUCCGGAAUUACUGGGUGUAAAGGGUGAGUAGGCGGCAUGGUAAGCCAGAUGUGAAAGCCUUGGGCUUAACCCGAGGAUUGCAUUUGGAACUAUCAAGCUAGAGUACAGGAGAGGAAAGCGGAAUUCCUAGUGUAGCGGUGAAAUGCGUAGAUAUUAGGAAGAACACCAGUGGCGAAGGCGGCUUUCUGGACUGAAACUGACGCUGAGGCACGAAAGCGUGGGGAGCGAACAGGAUUAGAUACCCCUGUAGUC
rnacentral:rRNA from 1 species